UGAAGUUUCAACCUAGGAUCGAACCGGGGCUCCUUCGCAUCAGAGGCAGGCGCCUUACCACUGAUCCAAAGCCCC
rnacentral:tRNA from 1 species